GGACCCAUAGCUCAGCUGGAUAGAGCGCUGCCCUCCGAAGGCAGAGGUCGCUGGUUCGAAUCCAGCUGGGUUCA
rnacentral:tRNA from 2 species